rnacentral:rRNA from 1 species
GACGAACGCUGGCGGCGUGCUUAACACAUGCAAGUCGAACGGUAAGGCCCUUCGGGGUACACGAGUGGCGAACGGGUGAGUAACACGUGGGUGAUCUGCCCUGCACUUCGGGAUAAGCCUGGGAAACUGGGUCUAAUACCGGAUAGGACCACUGCCUGCAUGGGUGGUGGUGGAAAGCUUUUGCGGUGUGGGAUGGGCCCGCGGCCUAUCAGCUUGUUGGUGGGGUGAUGGCCUACCAAGGCGACGACGGGUAGCCGGCCUGAGAGGGUGACCGGCCACACUGGGACUGAGAUACGGCCCAGACUCCUACGGGAGGCAGCAGUGGGGAAUAUUGCACAAUGGGCGCAAGCCUGAUGCAGCGACGCCGCGUGAGGGAUGACGGCCUUCGGGGUGAAAACCUCUUUCAGCACCGACGAAGCGCAAGUGACGGUAGGUGCAGAAGAAGGACCGGCCAACUACGUGCCAGCCGCCGCGGUAA